rnacentral:RNase_P_RNA from 1 species
AGGGAUGAGCGGGCGACCGCGUCCCGUACAAGAGCAAAGCUCUCUUACGGGAUGAGGAACGUCCGGGCAGCAUUCCGGAGGCCUGACGCGAGAAAGUCCGUCUAGCGACCAGUUCUUUCUUAAUAAGAGCGUCAGUCCGGCAUACGCCGGACAGCACGCCUCGGAAUAUGGGUGGCAGGUAACGCCUGCCCGUCGCAAGACGCGGGAGCGGAGAGAUGCUCUAGGAAAGAACAGACGACACGUGGAGUCUGUUCACCGGAGCCUUCGCCGCUGAAGAGUGCAACAGAAAUGACACCACUUCACUGGAUCGGGGUGGUCAAGGAUCCAUUGGAGCCAGGGUGAAAUCGUGUGCGGAGUGUUCUGCCCCAGAACACGAAGCCUCGAAUCCAUUGUGGUUUGGGGGUAAGAGCGCACGCGGCGCCGCAGCAAUGCGGAGCCGAAGCAAACCCCGCCCGCUGCAAUCCCAAGUAUUGGUAGGGAGCACGAGAUAUGCGGUGACGCAUGUCCUAGAGAGAUGGUCGUCACCCAGCCCCUCUUUUGCUGAAAUUCAUUCGAACGGCAACGAUGUUGCUUUCAAGAAUAGAUGAGGAGACACACGUGUUUCCUCCAGCAAAAGAGGGGCUGGGCACAGAACCCGGCGUAUAGCUCAUCCCUGCAC